CCUACGGGAGGCAGCAGUGGGGAAUCUUGCGCUAUGGGCGAAAGCCUGACGCAGCAACGCCGCGUGCGGGAAGAAGGCUUUCGGGCUGUAAACCGCUUUCAGCAGGAACGAAAAUGACGGUACCUGCAGAAGAAGGAGCGGCCAACUAUGUGCCAGCAGCCGCGGUGAUACAUAGGCUUCAAGCGUUGUCCGGAUUUAUUGGGCGUAAAGAGUUCGUAGGCGGUCGAGUAAGUCGGGUGUGAAAAUUCUGGGCUCAACCCAGAGACGCCACCCGAUACUGCUUAACUUGAGUUCGAUAGGGGAGUGGGGAAUUCCUAGUGUAGCGGUGAAAUGCGCAGAUAUUAGGAGGAACACCGGUGGCGAAGGCGCCACUCUGGAUCGAUACUGACGCUGAGGAACGAAAGCAUGGGUAGCAAACAGGAUUAGAUACCCUGGUAGUCCAUGCCGUAAACGGUGGGCACUAGGUGUGGGAUUCUAUUAACGAAUUCCGCGCCGUCGCUAACGCAUUAAGUGCCCCGCCUGGGGAGUACGGUCGCAAGACUAAAACUCAAAUGAAUUGACGG
rnacentral:rRNA from 1 species